UCUUGAAGAGCUGUGUAACAUGCUGGACCCGGACAACAAUGACAUCUCCAUUGAUUUGGCCACCUAUCGUGCCGUGAUGAAGGAGUGGAUAGAAGACUGCAGAAGGAAAAGCUGUAGCAUCCAUGAAGAGAUGGAAGUUGUAAGCAUUACUGAAGACCACGACAGCCUUGGAUCAGGAACAAAACUUUUAGAUGCCAUUGACGGAACGGUGGGGAGCUUGGAAGCC